GACGAACCGUGCGAACGUUGUUCGGAAUCACUGGGCUUAAAGGGCGCGUAGGCGGGUUUGCAAGUCUGUGGUGAAAGCCCCCAGCUUAACUGAGGAAGUGCCGUGGAUACUGCGAAUCUUGAGGAGGGUAGGGGCGUCUGGAACGGUCGGUGGAGCGGUGAAAUGCGUUGAUAUCGACCGGAACUCCGGUGGCGAAGGCGACGGCGCUGGACCCUUCUGACGCUGAGGCGCGAAAGCCAGGGGAGCAAACGGGG
rnacentral:rRNA from 1 species